rnacentral:rRNA from 1 species
GUGAGGAAUAUUGGACAAUGGGCGCAAGCCUGAUCCAGCCAUGCCGCGUGCAGGAAGACGCAUCUAUGGUGUGUAAACUGCUUUUGUACGGGAAGAAACACUCCCUCGUGAGGGAGCUUGACGGUACCGUAAGAAUAAGGAUCGGCUAACUCCGUGCCAGCAGCCGCGGUAAUACGGAGGAUCCAAGCGUUAUCCGGAAUCAUUGGGUUUAAAGGGUCCGUAGGCGGUUUAAUAAGUCAGUGGUGAAAGCCCAUCGCUCAACGAUGGAACGGCCAUUGAUAGUGUUAGACUUGAAUUACAAGGAAGUAAGUAGAAUAUGUAGUGUAGCGGUGAGAUGCUUAGAGAGGACAUGGAAUACCGAUUGCGAAGGCAGGUUACUACUUGUGGAUUGACGCUGAUGGACGAAAGCGUGGGGAGCGAACAGGAUUAGAUACCCGUGUAGUCC